rnacentral:lncRNA from 1 species
CAAGUCAACCCGAGGUCAAUCCUAAGUUUCCUCUCAAUCAAAGACCUCCCGAGAAUGUUAAUGCGAUUAUUUCUCUAAGGUCGGGAAAUCAAGUGGAUAACAAAGUUGGUGAGAACGUUAAUGAAAAUGAGGAGUCGAUUCCUAAAACAAAUCCUUCUUUGUCUAGCACUAAUCAUGAUAAGCCCGAAUGUUCUAGAGUCCGUGAGUCUAUGAGUGAACCUAGUCCUGGGCCCAUUUCUCAAAAGCCCAACGAAGAAGUUUAUAAGCCAAAGGUUCCUUACCCACAAAGACUCAUUCGCCCUAAACAAUCGGCCCAAAUGGAACAAAUUCUAGAGGUUUUCAAACAAGUCAAGAUAAACAUUCCUCUUUUAGAUGCCAUUCAACAAGUUCCUUCCUAUGCCAAGUGUCUAAAAGAUUUGUGUACCCAUAAGAGAACCACUAAUGUUCCAAAGAAAGCCUUUUUGACCUCUCAAGUUAGCUCGAUUCUCUCGAAUCAAUUUCCCGUGAAAUAUAAGGACCCCGGUUGUCCUACAAUUUCUUGUGUCAUAGGCAAUACUUUUGUGGAUAAAGCUUUACUUGAUUUAGGAGCGAGUGUGAAUCUUCUUCCUUUCUCGGUCUACCAAUCCCUAGGUUUAGGGGAUCUCAAAACCACCAAUAUGACCCUUCAACUUGCCGAUCGUUCGAUUAAAAUGCCUAAGGGGAUUAUUGAGGAUGUGUUGAUAAAAAUUGGUGAUUUUAUCUUUCCCGUUGACUUUGUUGUUCUCGAGACUCAACCCGUCUCGAAUCCUAAGAACCAAAUUCCUAUAAUUUUAGGACGACCUUUUCUUGCUACAUCCAAUGCCCUAAUUAAUUGUAGGAAUGGUUCAAUGAAACUCACCUUUGGAAACAUGACCAUUGACUUAAACAUUUUCAAUGUAGGAAAAGAACCCAAUGAGCUUUAUGAGCAACCUAUAGGGGUUAAUGUGGUCAACAAGUUUGUCACAUGGUCUAGCUUUGAGGAGUAAAAUCUCCCCACAAAUGUCGAUGCUCCCUAAUUACAAUUUUCAAAAUACCCGGAACCCAACUUUCGCAUGAACUUGAACAAGUAAAAUGCGGUGUUUCAAAAUCCUAGGAAUGAUGCGUUUGCACCCACUUAUAAUCCCGGGUGGAGAAAUCACCCAAAUUUCUCAUGGACCCAAGGUCAAAUUUUUCAAAAUCAAGGGCCAAAUUCUUUUCCAACUCCUCAACCAAAUUUUCAACAAAGGCCCAACCCAAACUCUUACCCAAAUCAAGGUCCAAAUUUAUGUCAUAACCCAAUUCAAACUCCUUUGAAUCCUCCCGGUUUCAAUGAUUCGGAUAAACGCCUCAAUUCCUUAGAAAAAAGUUUGGAAGCCUUAGUUAAAUCGCAAACUAAUUUGACUCAAUCACAACAAACCUUCAUGACAACCCUAACCCAAGAUAGGCAAAUUUUGCAUUCUAAUGUGCAAGCCGUGUCUAAGUUAGAGUCCCAAUUGAGUCAAUUAGCGAGCACGUUAUGUGAGCGAGAAAAGAACAAGUUCCCAAGUCAACCCGAGGUCAAUCCUAAGUUUCCUCUCAAUCAAAGACCUCCCGAGAAUGUUAAUGCGAUCAUCUCUCUAAGGUCGGGAAAUCAAGUGGAUAACAAAGUUGGUGAGAACGUUAAUGAAAAUGAGGAGUCGAUUCCUAAAACAAACCCUUCUUUGUCUAGCACUAAUCAUGACAAACCCGAAUGUUCUAGAGUCCGUGAGUCGAUGAGUGAACCUAGUCCUGGGCCCAUUUCUCAAAAGCCCAACGAAGAAGUUUACAA